rnacentral:rRNA from 1 species
UACGGAGGGUGCAAGCGUGAUCCGGAUUCACUGGGUUUAAAGGGUGCGUAGGAGGGCAGGUAAGUCAGUGGUGAAAUCUCCAAGCUUAACUUGGAAACUGCCGUUGAUACUAUCUGUCUUGAAUAUUGUGGAGGUGAGCGGAAUAUGUCAUGUAGCGGUGAAAUGCUUAGAUAUGACAUAGAACACCAAUUGCGAAGGCAGCUCGCUACUCAAUUAUUGACUCUGAGGCACGAAAGCGUGGGGAUCAAACAGG